AUUGAACGCUGGCGGCAGGCCUAACACAUGCAAGUCGAGCGGAUGAAGGGAGCUUGCUCCUGGAUUCAGCGGCGGACGGGUGAGUAAUGCCUAGGAAUCUGCCUGGUAGUGGGGGAUAACGUCCGGAAACGGGCGCUAAUACCGCAUACGUCCUGAGGGAGAAAGUGGGGGAUCUUCGGACCUCACGCUAUCAGAUGAGCCUAGGUCGGAUUAGCUAGUUGGUGGGGUAAAGGCCUACCAAGGCGACGAUCCGUAACUGGUCUGAGAGGAUGAUCAGUCACACUGGAACUGAGACACGGUCCAGACUCCUACGGUGGGCAGCCGUGGGGAAUAUUCGACAAUGGGCGAAAACCUGAUCCAGCCAUGCCGCGUGUGUGAAGAAGGUCUUCGGAUUGUAAAGCACUUUUAGUUGGGAGGAAGGGCAGUAAGUUAAGACCGUGCUGUUUUUACGUUACCAACAGAUUAAGCACCGGCUAACUUCGUG
rnacentral:rRNA from 1 species